AAGACUGUUUUUUUAAUUCACACAUAUAUCGACACGUCGCGCAGGGUGCUGGGUAGUUUUAUCCGGUUGCGUUGAUGGGAUGUAUGGAGGCAUAAC
rnacentral:sRNA from 1 species